rnacentral:rRNA from 1 species
GUCUAUGGCCAUGCCACACCGAACACGCCCGAUCUCGUCUGAUUUCGAAAGCUAAGCAGGGUCGGGCCUGGUUAGUACUUGGAUGGGAGACCACCUAGGAAGAUCAGGUGCUGUAGGCG